CAGCAGCCACGGUAAUACAGAGGGUGCGAGCGUUAAUCGGAUUUACUGGGCGUAAAGCGUGCGUAGGCGGCUUCUUAAGUCGGAUGUGAAAUCCCUGAGCUUAACUUAGGAAUUGCAUUCGAUACUGGGAAGCUAGAGUAUGGGAGAGGAUGGUAGAAUUCCAGGUGUAGCGGUGAAAUGCGUAGAGAUCUGGAGGAAUACCGAUGGCGAAGGCAGCCAUCUGGCCUAAUACUGACGCUGAGGUACGAAAGCAUGGGGAGCAAACAGGAUUAGAUACCCCCGUAGUCCCUGUCUAUUAUAA
rnacentral:rRNA from 1 species